rnacentral:rRNA from 1 species
GACGAACGCUGGCGGCGUGCUUAACACAUGCAAGUCGAACGGCAAGGCCCUGCUUUUGUGGGGUGCUCGAGUGGCGAACGGGUGAGUAACACGUGAGUAACCUGCCCUUGACUUUGGGAUAACUUCAGGAAACUGGGGCUAAUACCGUAUAGGAGCUCCUGCUGCAUGGUGGGGGUUGGAAAGUUUCGGCGGUUGGGGAUGGACUCGCGGCUUAUCAGCUUGUUGGUGGGGUAGUGGCUUACCAAGGCUUUGACGGGUAGCCGGCCUGAGAGGGUGACCGGCCACAUUGGGACUGAGAUACGGCCCAGACUCCUACGGGAGGCAGCAGUGGGGAAUAUUGCACAAUGGGCGGAAGCCUGAUGCAGCAACGCCGCGUGCGGGAUGAAGGCCUUCGGGUUGUAAACCGCUGUCGCCUGUGACGAAGCGUGAGUGACGGUAAUGGGUAAAGAAGCACCGGCUAACUACGUG